rnacentral:rRNA from 1 species
GACGAACGCUGGCGGCGUGCUUAACACAUGCAAGUCGAACGGAAAGGCCUCUUUCGGGGGGUACUCGAGUGGCGAACGGGUGAGUAACACGUGAGUAACCUGCCCUUGACUUUGGGAUAACUUCAGGAAACUGGGGCUAAUACCGGAUAGGAGCUCCUGCUGCCUGGUGGGGGUUGGAAAGUUUCGGCGGUUGGGGAUGGACUCGCGGCUUAUCAGCUUGUUGGUGGGGUAGUGGCUUACCAAGGCUUUGACGGGUAGCCGGCCUGAGAGGGUGACCGGCCACAUUGGGACUGAGGUACGGCCCAGACUCCUACGGGAGGCAGCAGUGGGGAAUAUUGCACAAGGGGUGGAAGCCUGAUGCAGCAACGCCGUGUGCGGGAUGACGGCCUUCGGGUUGUAAACCGCUUUCGCUCAUGACGAAGCUUUGUGUGACGGUAGUGGGUAAAGAAGCACCGGCUAACUACGUG